AAAACGAAUUUCUCAAGCUGCAACCAGUAAUCAUGGUAAUCUUGCUAACUAUUUUUUUAUGUGACAACAAUUUUACCAAGUUCAAUAUGUUGGGACAACUCUCAUAACAGGGCAAUCUUGAUUAAAAUCACAAAUUGAGCUCAAUUGAUACAGAAUCUUUAGGUUCGCUUUUUAUAUUUGGUAUCACCACUCACCAUUGCAACAAUAAUCUCGAUUAUUUCCAAUGGGAUUUUGAACUCCUUUAGUCAUAAAUAUCAGCAUAUUAUAAUUCAAUUAAUUCUUUUAGGAAAUACGUAUGGCACCUCCAACGCCAUAAUUUCUUGUAUGAAACUUACAC